AGCUUUGCGCAGUGGCAGUAUCGUAGCCAAUGAGGUUUAUCCGAGGCGUGAUUAUUGCUAAUCAAAAGAGGAGUUCUUAUUUCCUCCUCCUCAAACCCAGUCACCGACCAGUAAUUAUGAGAGAUUAUGUGACUUAUCCUGGGU